rnacentral:rRNA from 1 species
AUGUUUUAUUUUAUAAAUAUAUAAAUUAUAUAUUGAAAUAUAUAUUAAAUAAUAAAUUAUUAAUUUAUAAUAUUAAUUAUUAAUAAAAAUUAAUAUUAAAAUUUAAAAUAAUAAAUAAAAAAAUUGUGCCAGCAUUAGCGGUUAUACAUAAUUUAAAAUUUAAUAAUAAUAAUUUUUAAAUUAAUUAGAAUAAAUUUAUUUAAAAAAAUUUAAAUAUAAUGGUGAAAUAAAAAUUUAAAUUAAAUUAGUAAAAUUUAAUUAUUAUUAAGAAAAAUUAAAAAUAAACUAGAAUUAGAUACUCUAUUAUUUAAUUUAUUUAAAAUAGAAUAGGUAUUAAUUGAGUUUCAUUAAAAAUAAAGAAGAUGAUGGUAUUUUAGGUUAGAGAGACUUAUUUAUUAAUAUGAUGCCCCACGAUAAGAUAAACUUUUUUAGAAUAUUUUUGUAUGAUUGUAAAUAAAUAAGGUUUAAAAAAAUUAAUUAAUUUUUUUAAAUAAAGGGUAAAAUAAAUCAAUAUAAAAUUAAAAAAGAUUAAAUGAGUUUCAUUGUAAUUAUUAUUAUAAAUGGAGAUAAAAAUUUAACGUUAAAUUAAAAAUGAAUUUAAAAGUAAAUUUUUAAAAUUUUAGAUAUUGAAUUUUAAUAUAAAAAUAAUUACAUAUUGCCCGUCAGUUUCAAUUUUUUUGGAAAAAGUCGUAACAAAGUAAAUGUAUUGGAAAAUGUAUUUAGAUAAUAUAAAA